rnacentral:rRNA from 1 species
UUAGAGUUUGGAACAGGCUCAGAUUGAACGCUGGCGGCAGGCCUAACACAUGCAAGUCGAGCGGAUGAAGGGAGCUUGCUCCUGGAUUCAGCGGCGGACGGGUGAGUAAUGCCUAGGAAUCUGCCUGGUAGUGGGGGAUAACGUCCGGAAACGGGCGCUAAUACCGCAUACGUCCUGAGGGAGAAAGUGGGGGAUCUUCGGACCUCACGCUAUCAGAUGAGCCUAGGUCGGAUUAGCUAGUUGGUGGGGUAAAGGCCUACCAAGGCGACGAUCCGUAACUGGUCUGAGAGGAUGAUCAGUCACACUGGAACUGAGACACGGUCCAGACUCCUACGGGAGGCAGCAGUGGGGAAUAUUGGACAAUGGGCGAAAGCCUGAUCCAGCCAUGCCGCGUGUGUGAAGAAGGUCUUCGGAUUGUAAAGCACUUUAAGUUGGGAGGAAGGGCAGUAAGUUAAUACCUUGCUGUUUUGACGUUACCAACAGAAUAAGCACCGGCUAACUUCGUGCCAGCAGCCGCGGUAAUACGAAGGGUGCAAGCGUUAAUCGGAAUUACUGGGCGUAAAGCGCGCGUAGGUGGUUCAGCAAGUUGGAUGUGAAAUCCCCGGGCUCAACCUGGGAACUGCAUCCAAAACUACUGAGCUAGAGUACGGUAGAGGGUGGUGGAAUUUCCUGUGUAGCGGUGAAAUGCGUAGAUAUAGGAAGGAACACCAGUGGCGAAGGCGACCACCUGGACUGAUACUGACACUGAGGCGAAAAAGGGCU